rnacentral:misc_RNA from 1 species
GUAGUUCCCAAUGCCAUCUUGCCAUCACUAUGUAUUAGUCACUACUGUUAACGUAAGGUGCAGACGACAAACAUGUAAUCUGUUAUCAAUAUCAUAGAAUUGUCUUCAAGUUCACUUGAUUUUAUCAUAAAUAGGUUAUUAAAGUAUAUUAAUUAAUAUCUCGAAUAAAUGACAUUGUUUGUUUUCUAGAAAAUUAUUAAUUGAUUAGCUAUUCAGCACCAAUGAUACUUAAGGAGUGAUGGAGCAAAGGGAAUGUUUCAUGUUCAAGUUGAGGUUAUAUGUACAAUUAUACGAGUAAUAAACUAAUUUUAAAUCAACUACUAUUCAUUCAUUGAUAUUAUAUAUGGUUUGCCGAUGGAAGAGAAUUCAGAUAAUGGAACGAAAUAUAUUUCACUGCAGCCGUUCAUUCACCAAGUAGGCGGUCAUUCGUCAAUGCUCUGCCUGGAUGAAGCGACCGUUUGUAAGCCUGUUGUCGAGCGUGAGCAGUUGUUUUACGAAAGUCUUCCCGAAAGCCUGAGAUCUUUUGUACCACGCUAUUAUGGAAUCAUAAAAGUUCGCCUUAUCCAAGAGGGCGAGUACAUUACGUUAUUGGCUUCUAGUCCGGACAAUUACAGCCCAAAGCCUUCUUCUACUUUAAAACGACUAAGACUGCGGAGGAAUGGGAGCAUCGAAGUGGAGGGGGCAUCACUGUCGGCCAUGUUUGAUGCAGAGCCAGCAGUGGACGACGAUGCUGCUACUAUCAACCCCUGGGUACUCAAGUGUCACAAAGAGUACAUCACAAGGCUCAUGGCGAAGUUGGAGGAGGAACAUUGUCCUCUCAAAUCCACAGACUUUAUUGUAUUAGAGAAUCUGACGUGGAGGUUCAGCCUGCCGUGUAUCCUGGACCUUAAGAUGGGGACGAGACAGUACGGAGACAACGACAGCCUUGCGAAGCGACAGAGCAAGAUGGUCAAAGUAGUCACCACGACUUCGGCUAAACUUGGUCUCAGGAUAGGAGGCAUGCAGGUAUAUCAAGCGUCAUCUGGUCGUUUCCUCUGUCGUAACAAACUGUAUGGGCGCACUCUAACUGCUGCAGGCUUCCAAAGCGCUGUACGCAACUUCCUUCAUGAUGGAACACGGUUGCGUACCGACGCGUUGCCUCCGCUGAUACGUAGGCUAGAGGAGUUGCGGAAUGCUCUCAUGCAGCUAGAAUCCAUCAGACUGUACACAACAUCUCUCUUACUCCUCUACGAGGGUCAUCAUUCUAUCUCUAAUGAAGAAACGUCUGGAGAAAAGAACGAAAUGAGAAGAUCAAGAAGCAUUGAACGAGAGGAGCGAGCGGAGAGAGCGAACAGUGUAGAUAGGCAGGACGAGAUGCUCAAACAACCUACCGACUUCCGAGUACGAUGUAGCUCUAGCUGUAAUGCCAACGAAAAAAAACUAAGACCGGAGGACCGGAUCGCAAAGUGCUCUAUAAAAAUCUGCCUUUUCAACAUGAGCUGCAAAUAAAACAAACAAGAGCUAAACAAGCAGCCGAGACUAUUCAAUGCAGCAGCAAUCCUUAAAAACGUGGGACCUAAUAAACAGUUGUAAACGGAGUUUGGACUCCGAUGCAGAAAAACUGGAUGAUUGAACAGGAUGGGGAAAUGGUUAUGAAUUGGGUUUCAGGCCUGUGGAGAAGCACAGAGAAGAGGAGCCUUUGACGGAUGUGCGCAUUAUUGACUUUGCGCACUCGACCCACCGUGCGAUGGAUGACAGAGUUUUGUAUUCCGGUCCCGACAACGGUUUCCUCUUCGGUCU